rnacentral:lncRNA from 1 species
AGGCUGUCAAAGGCAAUUGCCACAAGAGGUCAACGCCAAGGCUGCUCUGCAGAUAUGACCAGGGCUCAUUUUUUCCAUGAUCUUAGAGAAACUGGAUAAGCCCGGGGCAAAUCGGGCCCAGAGAUGAGAUGGUAGGACAUUAUGGCAGGCCCUGAAACCCCAGCGUGCCCCAGCAGAGGCCUGUGGUGGCCUCUGGGGAGGUGGGCGGUGGUGGAGGUCCGUGUGAGAGGGCAGCAGCAGCAGCAGAUUAGGCCCUGUGGAAGCCCACUUCCUUCCAGAGACAGUGCCAGGGGAGGAAGGGUCCAGACUGAGGGCAGGACGGGCCAGGGGGUGUGGCAGGCGGAUGCCCCCCUGGGCAGGUGACCUCAUCCACCCCUCCCGUGUCGCCUCCUCUGAUCUGCUCCCUCUGGAGAUGGGGAAAUCCAGAGUAGGGGCAACAGGAAGUAUAUUCCCAAGAAGACUGUAGACCCCCGCACAGGGAAACGAUGGAGCUCAGGAGGGGCGCUGAUCUCGGGAGCCUGGAUCCACCAGUUAUGCAAGUGAUGAAGUGAGUACGCACGGUCCUCGAGGCCAGGGCCGGCGCAGUAAGAACGAACAGGUUGUUCUGGAAAAUUGUCUGGCAGCCUCCCCGCGGCCUGCCUGCAGGAACUGGCAUCUGUGGAGUACUUUGCCUUGCUUGUUGAUCCACAGCACUUACCACAUCCUGGAGAAACAGGUCAAUACAGGUGGCCCUCAGGAGCCAUGGGCCCCAUGUUUGGAACUCUGACCCACACAGGGGCAACCUGAACUCCUGAGCCAUAGCCAACCCCUCCCACCCGGGGCCUCUGAUGAGCUGGGCCCCCCUGCAAAUAACGUUCCUGUCUGUUUCCAUCUGUGAGCUCCUGCUCGCGAUCUAAGGCCCAGCUGAAAGUGCUUCUUCCUUCCUGGGCCACCUUCCUUUCAUUCUCAGCUUUUCUAAAUUAUGAACAUUUCAAACAUUCCCAAAGGAGAGAGAGUGCACGAUGCACCUGAACCAUAUGUCGCCCAGAAUCCAUGGCUAUCAAGAUCUUACCACAGUUGCUUCAUGGAUCCCUGCCUCUACUUAUUUCUUUCUGAGUUGCUUUAAUGUUUCACGCCACUUUAUAUCUAUGUACUAGAUUUUGCAUCUCUAAAAUAGAGGGGCAUUUUUAUACGUAAUGAUGUUAUGGUCGUCUGGCCUAAAAAUUGCCAACACUUCCUUGCUAUCUAUCAUUCAAUACCCAGUCCAUAUUGAAAUUUCCCUUCUGAAAAUUAAUUUUUGGAAUCAAGUCUACCAUCGGAUUUGGUUGAAUUUCUGAAGGAAGGGGGUCCAUUGCUCUGCCGAAUGUCCCCACAUGGCUUCUGUCUCCAUCCACCACGUAUGUCCAGCUUGCGGCCCUGACUCUAGGUGCCCUCAAUUAUGCCCACUGUGGAAACGGCCUUUCUGCCACAUCUGAAGCUUGAGCCUUGGAGGCAGGCAUGACGUCUCAUCUCUGUGUUCUUUGUGGUUCCCAAGGCAAUGCGUGGUGUAUCCGAAGUGCUCCACUGAGUCUCGAAAACGUCCCUGCAUUGGAGGGAUCAUGGAGUGAAUUUUGUCUUUGCCACUCCACUUACAACUUCAAGUCUGGAGAUUUUGAAACACCCCAUGACUGGGAGUGACCGCUGGCUCGGAGAGGUUUGUACACAGAGCAGAGGGUAGACUAGAUGACCCUUAAGAUCCACCAUGACUCUGCAAUUCAGGCAUGCGGAACCUGGCUGAUGACAGACAUCGACUUUGUCCUCCAACCUUUUUCCGGGACUUAUCAAUAUUCUCGUGGUUAAAUUCCACAAGCUGGCAUGAUCUGAGGAGGGAAAUUAGGACAUGGUUUCUUGCCAUUACUUUUUACAGCUUGGCAAGGGGCAGGAGGCUGCCAUCCCCUUCUGUGGUUGCUGUGUCAUUCUGUGGGGUUGCUGGAGCCGGGGCCUGAGGUGUCAGGGCGGUGGAAGCUCCUGACCCUGCCCUGCUUUCUGACCCACCUCUCAUCUCACAACCUCUGACCUUGUUUAUUUCUAGAGGCAUAAUCUGUGUGCCAUAUUGUGAGUAAAUGAGAAAAUGUGGCUUGGAUUAUGGAAUUCAGCUUUAUGAUUCAUUUGUUCAGCAAGCUCUUUUUGAGAAUCUAUCUUGUGCCAGGCCCUAGAUUCUGGGGGUUUAAAAAUUGCCAAGACCCAGGCGUGGUGGCUCACGCCGCUAAUCCCAGCAUUUUGGGAGGCCGAGGUGGGCGAAUCACAAGGUCAGGAGUUCGAGACCAGCCUGGCCAACAUGGUGAAAACCCGUCUUUACUAAAAAUACAAAAAAAAUUAGCUAGGCAUGGUGGUGGGUGCCUGUAAUCCCAGCUACUCGGGAGGCUGAGGCAGGAGAAUCGCUUGAACCCAGGAGGCGCAGGUUGCAGUGAGGCGAGAUCUCACCACUGCACUCUAGCCUGGAUGACAGUGCAAGACUCCAUCUGAAAAAAAAAAAAAAAAAAACAACAAAACAAGAACGGCCAAGACCCACCUUGCUAGCAAGAAGUUCACUGUCUAAUGACAGAGACAGACCAAAGUGGCAUAAGAGAGCAAGCCUGAAUGCUAUGAGAGAGACCCAUUUCAGACUGCUGGGGUAUAGGAGGGCUUCCUGGAGGAGGCAGCUUCUAAGUUGAGUCUUAAAGGGUGAAGUACAGACAUGAAAGAAGCAAUGCCUGGGAAGGUACUCAAGAAAAAGCAUGAUGUGGUGGGGAAGGGCUGCAGCCCAGCCCUGUGCCUGCAUCCCACGCAUUUCUACUUGAUUCCUUAGCUCCCUAAACCUUGCUUGUCUCAUCUGUAAGGUGGAGAUAAAAAUAACAGUCUUCUUUUAUUAUGUGAGUUGCAAAUGACAGAGUGCAUGUGAAGGCUCCUGGUGCCAAAAAUGUUAGCAGAAUUGAGUGGAAGCAGAGUGAACACUCACUGAGGGCCGGGAGACUUAGGAGGGAGCUGGACCCCCCGGGAUGCUUUGCUGGAUGACCACAGCUUGGGGAGGGGGCUACUGCCUUUGGAGAAUGGCAACACUAUCAUGCAGCUCAGAAGGCUGGAGUCUAAUACCCUGCUCAGCAACCAGGCAUAGUCCAUUCCAUCACAGAGCCUGGGUUCACCUUGAGGACAGUGAGAACUCAGCCCUGGCCAUGUGGAAGUCAAAGCGUGCAGCACCUACGUACAUGGACCUCACCUGUCAUCCAAGUCUCCAAACCACACUGCAAUACAAACAUCGCCAAAGUAGCAGGCUUCUCUCCUCUGGGUGACAUCCACAGGGCAGAUCUGAGCAACACUUAGUGUCUCCUGGGACCUUCCCAGCCUCGGACAGAAUGGUUGUUAGAGGAACAAGGUAAUGGUGAUAUACGCGGGACCUGCCAGUUUGUUAGGCCGGUGGCUUUAAUGGCUAUUUUGGAGGUGACAUUCCAUUAGGGGUGAUUGGACUUAAUUUUAAUGGCAGGAUGACUUAAUGUGUCAUCAUUCUCUCCUAGGCCUGAAGGUCAAUGGGAAAAGUUUCUUUCCUCCAGGAAUUACACUACAAAAUUUCCAUAACACAGCGCCAAUUUUGGUCAUGCUAAAAUAUUGAGCUGUAAGAAGUACCCUUCUGCACAAACAAGCUGGAUUUUUGGGCCUCUUGGUCCAGUCACCCUGGAGUCAGAUAACUUAGGGUGAAAUGUUGACUUCGUCACUCCCUGGCUGUGUGGCCUUAGACAACAUACUUAACCUCUCUGUGCCUCAGUUUCCUCAUCUACAGAGCUGGGUAAUCAUAGUAUGCGCUUCCUAGGGUUGUUGUGAGGACUAAUUUGGUGUGUGUAAAACCUGGAAGGGCUGCUAAGGGCUGCUAUUAUUAGCUCUCUAGGGAAAGGACCAGCAUAAGCAGUAAUUUGCCAAACACAUUCAAAGGCACUUUUGAACAGAUGGUCAGGCUAGGGUGAGGGGUUGAGGGAGGAGCAGUGGGAGGUGCGUGUGGAACGGAGGGUUGGGGUGGAUGGCAGAGGCAUAGGAAUGCCAGGCCCGUGAGUUUAAAAGGCAUCUUGAAUGACAUCCCACCACCCAGAGCACUUCUGCGCGGUUCACAAGCGAGAAAGACAAUGAGAAAGUAGUAUUUUUGGAGGAUCUUUGCUGACAGCAGGAAUGAAAAGAAAUAAAUAUAUAUGAGAGCCAUUAUGAAGGGAACCCUGCAGGACCUCGCGGCUAAUUGGAUGUGGGGCUGAGGGAGCAGGAGGAGUCUAGGGUGACUUUGAGGUGUGGAGUGAGGUGACUCACAGAAGAUAGUGUCGUCGCUGGCACUAGAAAGCCACCAGAGGAGCUGGUUUGGAGGGAGGAGGAUGGAUUCAUUGGUUUUAGGCAUGUUGCACGGGAUACUGUAGCCAGGAGCCAGGGUCUGGCCCUCGGGAACUGGGUCAGGGUUGGGAUGGAGACUUGGCCAUCAUCUGCAGAGAUAAGCAGGGUUUCUCUGUCUUUGAGAGUGAGUAGAGUGAGGGGGAAGCAUAGAAAAUUGAGGACAGAUACAGGGAACACUGGCAGGGGCUAAAACUGACAAAGGAAGAGGAGAUCGCGAAGAAGGCAAAGAGAAGGCUGGAAGAGAGCAGUGCCUGGAGGAAGCAGGAACAGGUGUCUGUGGGCAUGACUCAGGGGAGGAAAGUUGUUAGAUGCUGCAGAGGCCAAGAGGGGCCACGCAGGUAGGAGCCGCUGGGAUCAGCCCUGGGUAGCCUGUGCAGAGGCAGCCUGGGUGGACCAUGGAGAUGUGAAUACCAGCUGGAAGGCAAGUCUGAGGUGGGUGCUGGAUGAAUCAGUGGUGGAACUUAGUUUUAAGAAUUUCCACAAAGUGCCAGAAGUGGGAAGAUGGUGUCUUCUUUUUAUCCUUUUCUUUUCUUUCUUUCUUUUCUUUCUUUCCUUCCUUCCUUUCCUUCCUUCCUUCCUUGUCUGCCUUCCUUCUGUCUCUUUCUCUCUCUUUCUUCCUUUCCUUUCCUCCUUUCCUUUCCUUUCCUUUCCUCAUUGCAUUUAGCAGAGACUCAGUGUCUUCUUCCUCUUCUUCUUCCUCUUCCUCUUCUUCUUCUUUUGCAAACUCUGCCUCCUGGGUUCAAGUGGUUCUCCUGCUUCAGCCUCCCAAGUAGCUGGGAUUACAGGUGCUCACCACCAUGCCUGGCUAAUUUUUGUAUUUUUAGUAGAGACGAGGUUUCACCAUGUUGACCAGGCCGGGCUCAAACUCUUGACCUCAGGUGAUCUGCCUGCCUCGGCCUCCCAAAGUAUUGGGAUUACAGGCAUGAGCCACUGCCUCUGACCAGAUAGUGUCUUCUUGAAUGGGGAAAAUACCAGCACUUCUGGCAGUUAAGAAGUCCAGUUCUUCAACUCACUAAGCUGCCUUCUGGAGCCCGAACCAGGAAUGCAGUGAUAAAGAGAUGCAGGCUGGAAAAGUUUGAACAACCUGGCCCCAGAUUCCCCAUCUGUGAAGGGGCACUGAGGCUAGGUCGUACUUGGGCAAUUUUUGUGCUGCCCUUAGCUCAUGAGCCCCUUCACCAAAGCUAGGUGACCUCUGAGUCCCUUCAUAUUAGACCAGAGAUCCCAAUCGUGGGGCAUUGCAGCCCCAUCAUGUGUGGGUUGUGGGCCUCCCAUGCUCCUAAAAGCCCAGUGCAAUCAAAAUAGCUAAUGAUUAUUAAAAACUUUUUGGAUUGCAGAUGACUGACAGGUAUAUUCCCACAUAAGCUAGUUAUUAUUAUCUUGUUUAUACAGUCAAGACAUUUGAAGUCCAGAAAUGUGACCGAUUCACACAGCUAGAAUGGAACUUCAACCCAGGCCCCUUACACUCCAAGUUCAAGGCUUUUUCCAUCGUGAUAUGCUAUUUUAAAAUCCGAGUGGAUUAAAAUUAAAUUUUUUUUUUUUUUUUUUUAGACGGAGUCUCGCUCUGUCGCCCAGGCUGGAGUGCGGUGGUGCGAUCUCGGCUUACUGCAAGCUCCACCUCCCAGGUUCAUGCCAUUCUCCUGCCUCAGCCUCCUGAGUAGCUGGGACAACAGGCUAAAAUUAAAAUUUUAACUUGACUAGUGUGGAGAAUUUUGUGUAACUCUUUGAGCUGUUUAGCAAAAUCUACAUAGCCCACCUUGCUGGUUGUGGGGACACUGGCAUCUCUUGCAUGGAAACCUGGCUGGUUUUAACCUUUUCUGCUAUUGCAGAUGGGGAAAGUGAAGUGGCUCCUAUUGACUUUCUGCUGCCGCUUCCAGGUCUGACUUGCACACAGGGCCAUGAUGCCUGGUGCUUCCUCGGCUCUUCCAGUUGUUUAUGUUCAGCCGAGGGCAGUGGAUCCCAAAAAUAGCAGGCUCUGGCUCGAAGUUCUACCUACAUAACUUCUGGGAGCCAAGCCCUCUCUCUCCCUGGCAGGAAUGGGUCCUGGGAACAUGCAGAGAUUCUCCCUGGUGGCAUAUGGUUUUCCAUGGUGGCCGUGACUCAGGAACUCACUGCCAUGCUGCCUGACUCUCUACUCUGCCUUUGGGCUCCUGUCUUGCUGGUGUAGGCUGACUUUGAUGUGACCUCGAGAUUAGCCACCGCCACACUGAGGUCUCUCUUCCUGUCUUCGUGUUGCUGACCUCAUCUCGUCCAGCCUCCAACCCCAUCUGAUGAAGGAAGGGGGCAAGUAUGACAGCUGUGCCCCAAGUAUAAUAGCUCACAACCCGCUACCAAAUACAAUGUCUUUCCCCACUCAAUUCUUAUUCUUCCUUCAGGGUUACAAUUCCAAAUUUCACUCAUGCUAUUUUUUUUUUUUUUUUUUUUGUAAGACGGAGUCUCACUCUGUCACCCAGGCUGGAGUGCAGUGGAGCGAUCUUGGCUCACUAGAACAUCAGCCUACUGGGUUCAAGCAAUUCUCCUGUCUCAGCCUCCCAAGUAGCUGGGACUACAGGCGUCUGCCACCACACCCUGCUAAUUUUUGUAUUUUUAGUAGAGACAGGGUUUCACCAUGUUGGCCAGGCUGGUCUCGAACUCCUGACCUCAGGUGAUCCACCCACCUCGGCCUCCCAAAGUGUUGGGAUUACAGGCGUGAGCCACCCCGCCCAGCCUCUUGCUAUUUCUUUCAAUGCUCCCUGUGCCUUGACAGAGAUCCAGGGAUUGUGUUGAAGACAAUAUGUGUAAAAGUAACCAGCAUUGCACCCUAAAUUGUCCUUCCCCUCUGACAAUUGGCCACCAUCUCUGUAUUAAGCACAAGCACCUCAACAGGCCCUCCGCUGAGGAUGCAGGUGAGGACGGGCUGGAUGUGCCUUUUAUCCCCUCUUUGUGGUGUUACUUGCUCUAUUGCAGAAUCGAGCAUUGGCCCCAUUAUUCCUGAAUGAGUCAGAAGUCUCCGCCCCUCUGCUGAACAGGCCGAUGUGUCCCUUGACACACACGUGAUAAUGGUGCAGUUAAAAAAACAAACCCAUAGAGAUAUGGAAGUGCAGAUGUGUAGACGCCCCAUGGUUUUUGGUGACACAAACGUCAGCUGUAGCUCAGGGACGUCCUCCUGAUAGAACUCGCCAUUGUGGCAGGCAACCUCUGAGAUGAACUCAGAUAGUCUUGCCUGCUGACACCCAUGCUCUUGUGUAGUCUCUUCCCACGCUGAAUAGGGCUGACUGUGUGACCAAUAGGAUAUUCUAGAGAUGACCGACUAUGACCUCUGAGGCUGGGUUAUAGAAGAAGUGGUGCUUCUGGCUGGGUGAGGUGACUCACACCUUAUUCCAGCACUUUGGGAGGCCGAGGCGUGUGGAACACUUGAGGUUAGCAGUUUGAGACCAGCCUGGCCAACAUGGUGAAACCCUGUCUCUACUAAAACUAUGAAAAUUAGCCAGGCGUGGUGGUGAGUGCCUAUAAGUCCGGCUACUCGGGAGGGUGAGGCAGGAGAAUUGCUUGAACCUGGAUGACAGAGGUUGCAGUGAGGCAAGAUCAUGCCACUUCACUCCAGCCUGGGCAAAAGAGCGAAACUCCAUCUCAAAAAAAGAAAAAAAUAAUAAUAAGAAGAAGAAACGGUGCUUCCCUCCUUGUUCUCUUGGAACACUUACUCUGGGGGAUGCUAGCGCCACCUCAUGAGGACAUUGAAGAAACCAUACAAACAGGCCCAUGCAGCGAGGGCUAAUGGUCCCCAACAGUCAGCAUUGACUUGUAGGCUGUGUGACCAUGGGGACAUCUCAGAAGCAGAUCUUCCAACCCCAGUCAUGCCUUCAGGUGACAGUAGCCUUGGCUGACAUCCGAACUAUAGCCUGUGCCAGAACCAUCCAGUGAAGUCACUCCCAGAUUCCUGACCCACAAAGACUAUGACAUAAGAAAUGCUCACAUUUUGAGUGCUAAGUUUUGGGCUAAUUUGUUACACAGCCACUGAUAACUGAUACACCCAUGGCAAGGACACAGGGACUUCUGACUCAGUCUGGAUUCUCAGUCUGACUUGCCUGUGUUUCCAGCUAAUGUUGAGUCCUAUCCACCGAGCCUCCCAGUACUGCUUCUGGCGACAUGCAGCUGCACUGAGGCAUUUGAGACCUGGUGUUUCUACUAUCUGGAUCACUGAAGGAACCUUGGAUGCUUUUUUCUAAGCCUGGUAAAGCCAUGCAGCAGAUCAGCAGGAGGGCACACAUUAGCCCACGGGCUGCCUGAGCCCUGGCCUGCAGCUACUCACCUCCUCCUCCUCCUGGGGCUUCACUCCUGUGCUCAUUCCAUCAGCUAUGAGAGUUCAGCUUGACACACAGAGCCUGGUCUCACAGUCACUUAUGAGGGGCCAUGAGUUCCAGGGUUUCAAACCAGAGAAGAUGGGGCUGAUAUAUUUUGUCCAUCAGAAACAGCAGAGUCCCACCAUGCUAGAAAGACUGUUAGGAGGGUAUAGUGAGCCUGGCAUGGAGCAGGCACUGAAUUGUUUGGUGACUGAGGGGGACUUGGUCUUGCAUCCUCCAUCACGCUGCUCAGAGAGACGUGGGGCAGAGGUUGUGCUGUGUGUGUGUGUGUGUGUGUGUGUGUGUGUGUUUGUUUGUUUGUUUCUUUCUUUUUAUUUUAUUUUAUUUUUGAAACGAGUUUCACUCUUGUUGCCCAGGGUGGAAUGCAAUGGUGCGAUCUCGGCUCACUGCAACCUCCACCUCCUGGGUUCAAGUGAUUCUCCUGCCUUAGCCUCCCGAGUAGCUGGGACUACAGGCAUGUGCCACCACGCCCGGCUAAUUUUGUAUUUUUAGUAGAGUUGGGGUUUCACCAUGUUGGUCGGGCUGGUCUCGAACUUCUGACCUCAGGUGAUCCGCCCUCCUGGGCCUCCCAAAGUGCUGGGAUUACAGACGUGAGCCACCAUGCCUGGCUUAUUUAUUUUUAUAGAGAUAGGAUCUUGCUUUGUUGCCCAGGCUGGAGAGCAGUGGCAUGAUCAUGGUUUACUACAGCCCCAAACUCCUGAGGGGGUGAUCCUCCUGACUCAGCCUCCUAAGUAGCUUGGAUUACAGGAAUGUGCCGCUAUGCCCAGCUAAUCAUUUAUUUAGAGAUGGGGUCCCAUCGUGUUGCCCAGGCUGGUCUUGAACUCCUGGCCUCAACUGAUCCUGCUGCUUUGGCCUCCUAAAGUGCUGGGAUUACAGGUGUGAGCCCCUUGCCCAGCCUGCACUGUUUUCUGGAGCUCACACUUUCAGAAAGAAAUAGGAACACUGGAGUGGAAGAAUGGGCGUGGAUGAAGAGAUUGAUGGGGACUUCCAACUCAUGCAAGCAAGUGCAGCAUUUGGCAGGGGAGGCUCACAGCACAUCCCACUUCUGCAAGUCACCAGUGGGUCUUUUCUUGCCACAGGGAUCCAUCUAGGGGUCCAAGGUAUGAAGUGAGUGGGAGGGACUUACAGAGAGACACACGUCAGCUCUGCCUGGAGAAGGAUGUCAUGGAUCUCAGUGGCACACCCAGGUCUCAGAGAGGCAAUGAGUUGCUUGUCACAGGAGUUGUUUAUUCCCAGCCAGGUGGCUGGGAUGGGAGUCUCAGGAGAUGAGAGGACUAUACUGUUUUUUUCCUGGAGAGGUACAUUUCUCUAGUCUGUGGAUCAGGCUCCUAAAAGUCCUGCGGAGGCUGCAAUUCUGCUGCUUCCCUGCCAUGGACUGCCAAAUGGGCUGGGUGAAGGAAGGUCCUAUUCUCAAUGGCAUUUCCAGGACCUCUCUGUGUGUGUGAUCUGGCUACUUUAGACAGCAAUGGUAUAUUUGCCUUGGCUGAUGGGAGUCCCUCAUCCCUUGAGCAGUUUUGUGGAGAGCAGGAGAAAUGUAUCACAGUGUCUUGACGCUCCUGAAAAGCGUAUGAGUCACUAGUACCAGGGAACCUGGCGUCCUUUUCUCAGUCAUUGAGCUUGCGAGCCAGAUCCGAAUCAUCUUUCCUUCUGCAGUCCUUAAUUAUGGGGGAAAAAAAUGGACUUGUAGAAACCAGUCCUGUGUUUCUGGAUGUGGAAGGACUCUGAGCUUUCUCUUGGGCAGAGGGGUUGGAAGGGGACAGGGCACAGAGGGCAAGGGCUCUGCAUGAUGCCCAGGGGAGUAGAGUCCAGCCUCCAGCCUCUUGUCUCCCAGAGCCCUCCCUGGUGGUCAGUGUUGUGGCCUUGAGCCCCCAGUAGGCCAGUGCUCACUUGGAUCCUGCAGCCCAGGCUGGGGCUGGGGAUGAAAUCUGUGGCCUCCAUCAAUCAUAGCAAAUGCAUUGUCCCCAGUCGAUGACAAAAGGCCAGGAACUGGAACCUCCCCAGACCGACUCAGCUAGUUCACUUGGCUAGAGCCCAGGCUGGUGGGAACCGGAUGUUUUGUGGAGGAUUGGCGUCUCUCUCCCUGCCUGUGCCCCACGCCGCUCAGUGCUUUCCCUUGGAGUCCUCAACCGUGGAACCGGUGCAUUCUUUCCUGGGCAGCUGCUCUGCUCACUUCCAACAUGUUGUGCUCUGAGCUCAUAAAAUCAGAGGAAUCAAAGGCAGAAGCUGCAAGCGCUCAGGCCUGCGGGGACCGGCGGCUUUGGAAACUCCAGUUUGCUUUCUUCUUUCCAUGUGUGGCAGAUGUGCCUGUCUCAUCUUGUAGCGCCUUGGCCAGCUUUUGCUUUUCCGCAGAGGAAGGUAAAGCAAAGCUGUGGCCAGAGACCCCUGAGGCUGGAAAAACGUUUAAAGCCCGAGGGGGAGGGCUGCCCUCCCAAUGCAGAUAAAGGAAUGAAACAAUAGAGCAGUUGUCCAUUUGGAAUCCUGGGAAAAGCUCAAAAUACGACAGGGAGGUCAGAUCAGGCUGGACCCAUCUGUAGCACUGAGGGCUGGAGGGGGAAUGUUCUGGGCUUGGAAGGCUUCUCUUUCCCCUCUGGUCUCAUGAGCCUACUGUCUUAUUAAUGAAUUUGGUUUGCCUAGAGGUCCUGACUCAGUGGCCAGUUUGGUUCCAAAGCAGGUAGUGGCCCCUCUUGAAAAACAGCUGCCCACCUGUUGACCUCAUCUUUUAAAAACAUGCAGGACAUCCAUCCACGUGAGAGAUCCCUGUGGGUCUCAUGGGCCAUCCCUGGCUGCCCCUUCAUUCUUGACCCUGCCCCAUCCCUCCGGGGUCACAUUUGGAUCUGGGAGAAAUAUUUGGCAAAUGUGAAAAUGAUAGGUUUAGCAAGAGCCUGAGGAACUGGUAGGGAAAGACUUGUUUCGUUCACGUUUACUUUUUGAACAGAUAAUUCAUUUUCUUGGUUCACAAAUCAAAACUAUAAAAACCAUGACUUCUACCCUUGCUCCCAUUAACCCCAACCCAAGUAACCACUUAUAUUAAUUUCUUGGGUGUCUUUAUGAUAUACAAACAAAUGUGUGUGUAUAACUUUGUACAUAUAUAUUUUUUCUUUUUCUUUCCCCCUUUCACAGAAAGGAACUGCAGCGGCCUUUGAGAGAAUGAAAAAAUACUCAAUCUCACUUAGGUUCAGAGACAUGCAAAUUAAAACUAUAAUAAAAUACCCAUGUGGCAAGGCUGACAGAAGUUAGCAUUCUGUGCAAACUGGUUUGGACUUUGCUCUUUUCACUUACCUGUGUAUAUAUCUUGGACAUCUUUCAAAUCAGUACAUAAAGAACGUCCUCAUUCAUUUUUUACAGCUUAAUAGUUUCCUAGUUAUGGACACAUCGUAAAUUUAUCUAACUGGUUUCUAUUACAGACAUUUGAUUUGCUUCCAAUCUUUUGCUACUACGAACCAUGCUACCCAGGAUGCUUCCUAUACAUGUAGGUAUACUGGUAGAAUAAAUUAAGGCAAGUGGCAUUAUUGAGAUAAAGGGUAAACAUAUUUAUAAUUUUGGUAAGGGUUUUCAGACGUCUUCAACAGAGUGUACACUAUGCACUGCCACUAGUAAAGAAUGAGAGUCUCUCUUUCUCCAUAGCCUUGCCAUGCAGGCAUUUCAUUGUAGUUUCAAUUUGUGAUUCUCUUAUUAAAGUGAGAUGGAGCACUCACUUUAAUUCCAUUCUUUCAAGACCCAUUUGCAUCUCCUUUUCUAUGAGCUUCCUCUUCAUCUCCUUUGCCCAUCUAAAGAAAAACUGUCUUGUUCACUUUGGUCUUUUUCCUUAACCAUGCCUAGUAGCUAUUUGUGUGUUAAGGAAAGAUUGGCUCUCUGGGAUAUGAGUCACUCCACAUUAUUGUUUGUCUUUUAAUUUUGCUUAUGUUUUGUGGAUGUCUAAGUUUUUUAAAAAUUAGGUGGUAUAAUAUAGUAAUCUUUUUUUUGUAUGAAUUCUGGAUAAAAGAAAGGCCUUCUAUUCUCCAAAGUUCUAAAGGAAUUUGCCGAUAUUUUCUUCUAGUUCUUCUAUGGCUUCUUUUCUUUUCUUUUCCUUUUCCUUUUUCUAUUUUUUGAGACAAGAUCUUGCUCUGUCACCCAGGCUGGAGGGCAGUAGCACAGUCUUGGCUUACUGCAGCCUUGACUUCCUAGGGCUCAGGUGAUCCUCCUGCCUCAGCCUCCUGGGUAGCUGAAAUUACAGGCACGUGUCACCAUGCCUGGUUAAUUUUUGUACUUCUUGUAGAGAUACAUGUUGCCCAGGCUGGAGUUUUCAUUUUUCAAGAGUUUGUAUCUUGGCCAGGUGGCCAGGUAUGGUGGCCCAUGCCUGUAAUCCUAGCACUUUGGGAGGCCAAGGCAGGUGGAUCACCUGAGGUUGGGAGGUGGAGACCAGCCUGACUAACAUGGAGAAACCCCAUCUCUACUAAAAAUACAAAAUUAACUGGAUGUGGUGGCAUGUGCCUGUAAUCCCAGCUACUCAGGAGGCUGAGGCAGGAGAAUUGCUUGAACCCAGGAGGUGGAGGUUGCAGUGAGCUGAGACUGCACCAUUGCACUCCAGCCUGGGCAACAAGAGCAAAACUCCAUCUCAAAAAAAAAAAAAAGAGUUUGUAUCUUUAAUCCAUUUGGAUUUGACUCUGGGGAAAAAUGUGAGGCAUGGAUUGAACUUAACUCUUUUCCAGUUGUUCUGAUAUCGUUUAGUAAUACCAUUCCUCUAGUGGUUAGAGAUAUCACCUUCAUAAUUUACAGAAUCUCUGAUUAUAAUUGGGUCUAUUUCUGCAUUUUCUAGUUUAUUCCAUUGUUUGGGAUGUCUGUCCGUUGGCCAGUACUAUGCUGUUUUCAUUACUGAGACUUUACAAUACACUUUGAAAUGUGAUAGAGCUAUUUUUUCUCAUUCCUUUUCGUUUUGUUUCUUGCUGUUUUUGCUUUUCCUUUCUUUUUCUAUUCUUUACCUGGCUAUUUUUUUUUUAAAUUUGGAAUGGAGAGCUUUAUUUCACAUAAAGGGCUGCAGCCUGCAGGGUGGCCAUUCUGACAGGUUGGGAAGCAUAGUCUCUGGCCAGAAACCAGAAACAGAAACUUUGAGAGUCAGAAGAAUAAGACAGAUAUUUAUAUUAAAUGGGGUUGUCAAAUAUACAUAUUCAAUAAGCUGGAGGAGGAGUCAUGAACAUUUAUGAAAGGAGAAACAUGCGUGUGUGCAAUUGAGCUUCAUGCCUCUCUAGGGGACCCAUGUUCAAGACAUGGCAGUGGGGUUAGCACAAUCCAAGGGUGGGGUUUUUGGUCCUCUGACGUCAAAUGGUGAAGCAGAGGACAUGGACACCCUCUGCACAUCCUGCUUAGACUGCCUGGCUAUUCUUGCUUGUUUCAUUUUUCCAUAUGAACUUUAGAGUCAGCUUAUCUAGGUUUUUUUUGAAAAAGAUUAUUUGUAUUGAGGUCACAUAAAAUUUAUAAAUUCUUUUUAGGAGAAGUGAUGUGGUAAUGAAUCUUUCUCUCUUAGAAGGUAGUAUGUGUUCCCAUUGGUUCUAUUGUUCCUUUGCAUUUUUAAAGGUUAGUUUCUCUCUUAGGCAUUUUGCAUGCAUGUUAGUAAGUUUAUUUGAAGGUAUUUUUUGUGUUGCUGUUGUAAAAAAACCCAAACAACUCUUGAAGGAUACACCAUUUUUCUCACUCUAUCCUCUGCCUGGUUGAUACUUGUACAUAAUACUGUUGUUAUCUAUUACGUUAGUGUGUACCAUGCUACCUUUUUUUUUUUUUUGAGAUGGAGUCUGGCUCUGUUGCCCAGGCUGGAGUGCAAUGGUGUGAUCUCAGCUCACUGCAACCUCCGCCUGCCGGGUUCAUGUGAUUCUCCUGCCUCAGCCUUCUGAGUAGCUGGGACUACAGGGGCACACCACCACGCCUGGCUAAUUUUUGUAUUUUUAGUAGAGACGGGGUUCCGCCAUAUUGGUCAGGCUGGUCUCGAACUCCUGACCUCAGAUGAUCCUCCCGCCUCGGGCUCCCCAAGUGCUGGGAUUACAGGCAUGAGCCAUUGCACCAGUCCCAUGCUACUUUUUUCAGAAAGCCUAAUUAAUGUAAAGAAUACAAAUGUUAUUUGGGUAAGUACCCAAAAUGAGUAUUUUAGAAAUUAGAAGAAGGCAGUCCCAAAUAGAUUUUAGGAAAACCAUAAUUGGGGUGGGAUGCUUAAGAGUGUGCUUCUUGAGAAUUAGGGAUCCUUCAACAUGGUGGAAUUUGAGGGAUGUAACAUAAUUUCAGGAACUCAUUCUGCACCAAGAAUAAAGAUGUGUGAGAGCACAAGCAGUUACCUGCAAAAGAAUUUGUGAUGAGCUCAUCUGUGGUUGGAUUCCUUCAGGUCCUAGAGCACAGAAGUGAAAUGCCAAAGGCCUAAAUUCAGUGGGAAGCAGGGUUCUCACUGGCUACAAAACCUGCAGCUUCAGAAAGGAGCAGUGCAGGGGGGCACUGGCCACUGAGGGCCAUGGGUCCUCAGCUUUGACCACCCCUCAGAACUCAUCAGAGCAAAGCCCCCAGCUGUUUCCUCUCUUAGAGCAUGAGGGAAAGAAAUGGAGAUCUAGCACUCAUCUGUUCCUUUGGAGAUGGAAAGAAAAAUGGAAUUCACAGGUGGCCUUCAAGAGCCCAGUGAGAAACAGUGAGCCCAUUCUGCUCUGUCUCUGGGAUCAGUCAAAGGCAGAAUGGGCAGGUGCAGCCCCAGCACCCUAACACCUUUAGUGCCACCAGUAUGGUUUAUCCAACCAAGGAUUUGGGGUUCUUCUGCGACUUGGGGCUCUUUUAGGGAACAAAGUUUAUUUUCUUCUUCGUCUUCGUCUACUACAAAUAAGAGGAAGGAGGGAGCUGUUACUGCGCACCCAUGCGUUAUGCUUGGUGCAGUCUGUAUGUCCUCAAGGCAUGCCUCGAAAUCAUUCUCUCUGCUUUUAUGGAUGAAGAAAUGAAGGCUCAGGAGGGCAAUUAACUUUCUGAAGGCAACUUGGCUGGGAAUUAGCUGCUGUAGGGUCCAGGGAGGAGGAGGAUGGAGGUAGUGGAGCUCUGGACACCUCCUUCUUCUUGCUUGAAUGAAAGCAGCUCCGCGUUGUGUAUGGGUUUCCCAUUGAGCUAUGCUUUGAAGAAAGGAUUCUACUUGGAAAGAGUCUGUGUUCCCAGACAGGUCUAUUCUAUGUUUCUCAGCCCCAGAGAUGGGUUUUGAAUUUGCAGCACCUCCCCACUCCUACCCCUACCCCAACCCCCGCUCAUACUAUAGCCCCCACUUUGCCUAGUGGAUUGGAGGGGUCCCAACCCACUGAGGAGCAGUAUCAGGUGCUGAAGGCUCAGAGGGGACUCAGGGCUGGGAGAUGGCAAUGGCAGCUCCCAGCCAAGCUCUGGUCCUCUCCAACCGAUUGCCACAGCCAGCUUCAGGCUGGAAGGCUCUGCAGUGGAGUGAAGCUGACAUUUCUCUCAGGAACUACAAUGGGGAAAAAUGCUGCCAGCCACCCUCUCCCUACUCCCUCCAGACCCUGACAAAAGGGUUCCCCAACCAACCGUACCAGUUACUCAGCAGUGUCUUUGAUAAGAAUUAGAAACUCAGGAAUUACUUCAACCAAGCUGAUGGAUUGUAAAGGUACUUGAGCUCAUUAUAUUCUCUUCCAGACUGACUUUUCUUUUGCACUUAAUGAUGAAUAGUCCUUGGUGCUUCUGUGAUCUUACUCCAAGAUUUUAAAAAAUCCUAGGAAUAAGAACUUUUUCUCUUUUUUAAGAGAAAGGGUUCUACUCUGUUGCCCAGUCUGGCGUGCCAUGGCGUGAUCAUAGCUUGCUGCAGCUUCAAUCUCCUGGGCUCAAGAGAUUCUCCUAGUUCAGCCUACUGAGUAGCUGGUACUACAGGCAUACCUGGCUAAUUUUUUCAAUUUUUUGUAGCGAUGAGGUCUCACUAUGUUACCCAAGCUGGUCUCGAACUUCAGCCCUCAAGCGAUCCUUCCACCUUAGCCUCCGAAAACGCUGGGAUUAUAGGAAUAAACCACCAUGCCUGGCCUAGAACAUUGUUAUUAGCAUCAUCAUUACUAUCCUCCUUGUCCUAUUCUGGCUUCCAAAUUGGACUGCGUCUAACAUUGAUGGCUGAAGCCAAGACAUCAUUCUUAUCACCAUGACAACAAACAUAAUACUGAAUUAAAUAAUCGGCUUUUAUAGGAAGUGCUCAGUGCACUAGGCCUGAUACCAAACUUGAGAAAACUCAACUUUAGAGAUAGGAAAAAAGGACUAUCUAGAGAGAAGAGGUCAUUUAUUCCACAUUUCUUGCAAAGAUAAAGGCAAAUUCUGGAAAAACACUGCGCUCUGCUCUCCCUGGUGAUUGUGAGCAGUUACAGCUUGUGAAGAUCUCACAUCCUGGGCAGAAUUCCAUGGCAGGAGGGCUGCAUUUUGUAGUCAAUGACUGGGCUGCCUGUGGAUGGGCAGCUGUGUUCAGACCUGAGCCUUCAUCCUUUGUAUUCUUGGACUCUUGUCAUGGACCAAGGGAUGCAAGAACCUCCUAACAGGCCUUGAUCUUUCCUCCACGGGAACAGCCUUAAACUUUUGGGGAAAGUAAGGCAACAAAAUGAGCAGUGCUAACGCAAUGUGUAAUCUGUUGCUCAUCAGCGGGAAGACUUUUAUUCAGUGGUCUAAGCAUUUUACAAAUAGUAACUUAUUUAAUCUUCACAGCAAUGGUCCCACUUCAGUAUUCCUAUUUUCAGAUGACAAAACUAAAGCACAUAUCGAUGACAUAACUGGACUAAGAUCACACAUCCAGCCUGUUGCAGAGCUGGAGUGGGAGCCCAGAUCAUCUGGAUUCAGAGUCCAUGGUGCACUUAUUAUUCUGGAAGUAUCUAGUGCUGUGCCCUUGGCUUGGCAGUGUGGUUCAAAAUCCAAUCCAGCGUGGUUCAUGGUCCCUUCCCUCUAGUAGCUUACAAUCUCUGAGAAGCUUAUGUUUUGAAGGUUUUGCCUUAUAAGGACCUGUACCUCACUUAGUCUUCAGCCCUCUUUACAAGUACAUUGAACUCACUUAGUUACAAGGAUUACAAACAAAUACUACAGGGAUGUGAUGGGUAGUUGUGUGUGUGUCCAUUCCGCUGGGCUAUGGUGCCCAGUUGUUCAGUUAAACACUACUGUAGAUGUUGCCGUGAAGGUGUUUUUAAAGAUAACAUUAACAUUCAAAUCAGUAGACUUUGACUAAAGCAGAUGGCCCUCUGUAGUGUGGGUGGGCCUCGUCCAAUCAGUCUAAGGCCUUAAGAGAAAAAACUGAUCUCCCCCAAGGAAGAGGGAAUUCUACCUCCAGAUGGCCUUCAGACUUGAGACUGCAGCAUCCAUUCUUCCCUGGGACUCUAGCCUGCAGCCUGGCUUGCACAUUUCAAACUCACCAACCUCCACAAUUAAUUGAGCCAAUUCCCUAAAAUAAAUUUCACUCUCUUUCUCUAUCCAUACUAUUGGUUUUGUUUCUCUGGACAAUCCCGACAAAUACAAAGGAAAACAUGACAUUCUGGGGUCUCACUAAACAAAUUCUUCAGUGGUAAAUAACUUCCGUAGAUGGGUAGCUAGAAUACAAAUGAAGACAUCUGAGAACUGUGGAAUCCUCUUUACGCUUUCUGCAAUGCUGAUGUGCGUUAUGGUAUGUGAGGAAUAAGUUGAAUUUGAGAAGGCAGAGAUUCCUUAUUCUGAAGUGUCUCAGCCAGGUAUUGGCUCUUACCAUUUCAGCCGCAGAGAUGGCGCUCCCAUCUGCAAGGUUGGGCAGGGGUCCUCUCCCAGUCCUCUGAGAUAGGUGAGCAAGACACAGAAAUGGCUGUGGGGGGACCAGCCUGAACACUGGUUGAUGAGCAAUGCACAGAGAAUUCGCUGAAAGUACUCUCGGGGACAAGAGUGCCCCCGAGGGACUCCAUUGGUGUCCGAGAGUAAUAGAGUUCCUGCAGAGAGGAGACCGCAAAUGGCAUUUGCCACAAUUUACCCACCUCAAAAUAGUGACAACACCAGCCUUUGUGAAGCAAAUCAAGUGGGAAAAAAAAUCACUUUUACAAAAUGGGAACAGUGCCUCUUAGUGCCACGUCACAGUGAUAAGCACUUGGAUCUUAUUCUGGGUGAGAGUCAAAUGAAACCCCAAAUGUUCUUUUGAACAAGACUGUUCCACUUAAUAGAACUGCCACUCAGUGAGUCCUGUUGUUCUCCCCACGGGCCCCUUGCUGAGCCUUGGAAGCAUCCUCACAGAAGACUUGAAGCUUUGCUGAUUUAAAGCAUCCUCCUGCUCAAGUCUUGGCCAGGAAAAGUCAGGUGGGAACCCAUUUGUGACUCAAGCCCCCACCUAUCAAUAGAGCUGGGUUCUUAAGUUCGUUUGUGAGUAAUGUGUUGAGAUGAACUGGAUCUGUUAUUCCUAGUGGCACCCUCAGCUGUGUCACUGGUGGAGUGGGGGCUUGGGGCUGCCUUGGAGCCCAGUCACCACUAAAUGUGUUCCUCAUUUACAGGUCACUUGUCAUGCACAGGUCAUCCAACCAUCAAGUCUUGCCCCAGUCAAAGAGGAUUGGGCCUUCCUGCCUCAGUUAGCUGAACCUGUGAGCUCCUUGAAGGCAGGGUUGUGUCUUAGAUAUUUUAGUAUCCUCAGAUGCCUUGCACAGUUAGGGCUGAGAAGAAGGUCAGUCAAUAUGUGCUUGAUUAAGUAAAACCAACCUCUCUGCUCUCUGGAAGCCUGUUUUCUUCUGUUUGGUUUGAAGUGGUUAAUGAAGUCUUGGCUUGGGUAGAGCCUUGGCUCUAACUGAGAUUCUGUGAUCUACUGUGAAUUAUAGGGAUGUACUCUGCAAUGAGUCGUGAAGCUUCUGGGGCAGAAAGGAUGUGUGGGUGUGCUUACAGAGCAGUCCAACCCUGUCUCCUACCUCGGCCUCAAGCAGUCUAAGGGAGUCUGGUAAGGGAGGCAACCACAGCAUUUGGGAAGUUCUUAAGGUCACCGGCUUCCCUCUUUUGAGACAAGUAUCAGAAGACUUGAGAUUUCAAAUGAAAUGUCUGCUUAUUCUGUUGUGUGGACAGCUCAGGAGUUCACAUAUGAGUAAAGAGGAUACUAACCACCAGCUACUCUCUUCAAACCAUGUACACUGUCCAUUGCAGUAAAGCAUUUGUCUCUGUUUUGGAAUAACUUACGAAGUUGAUGACCCCUAGGAGUUCUAUAAGAAUUUUGUCAAGUCAUCUUAUCAGAAACUUAAUUUGUAGGGGUAGGCACAGUGGCUCACCCCUGUAAUCCCAGCAUUUUGGGAGGCCAAGGCGGCGGAUCACUUGAGGAUAGGAGUUUGAGACCAGCCUAGCCAACAUGGUGCAACCCCAUCUCUACUAAAAAUACUGUGUAUAUAUAUAUAUCCCAUCUCUACUAAAAAAUUGACCUGGGUGUGGUGGCGCAUGCCUGUAAACCCAGCUGCUCGGGAGGCUGAGGCAGGAGAAUUGCUUGAACCCAGGAGGCAGAGGUUGCAGUGAGCUGAGAUCAUGCCACUGCACUCCAGCCUGGGUGACAGAGCGAGACUCUGUCUCAAAAAAAAAAAAAAAAAGAAACUUAAUUUGUUUUGGCCAAGGAAAACAGGGCUUUAAGCACCCUUAAAUCAGAUUUGCUCUUUUAUAAUUGUUUUGUCAAAGGGACUUCUCUGCUUUCAUUCUCAGCCACCUCUGUCUUUGUCAAGUGGCUCACGCCUGUAAUCCCAGCAUUUUGGGAGGCCAAUGCAGGUGGAUCAGGAGGUUAGGAGUUGAAGACCAGCCUGGCCAAUAUGGUGAAACCCCAUCUCUACUAAAAAUAAAAAAUUAGCCGGGCGUGGUGGUGUGCGCCUGUAGUCCCAGCUAGUCAGGAGGCUGAGGGAGAAGAUAUACUUGAACCUGGGAGGUGGAGCUUGCAGUGAGCUGCACUCCAGCCUGAGCAACAAAGUGAGACUCCGUUCCCCCCAAAAAAUUUUACUGAUGAAACUUGGGCCAAAGGCUUGGGCAUGGACUUCCCAGGGUAGGGAAAGAGGGAACAGGCAGGGUUAUAUUUACUCUUAUUUCCCUUGUUAAGGCAAGGAUGCUUAAUUUUAGUGGUGAUGACGAUAAAAAUGAUGUUAACUAGCAUUCACUGAACAUUUGUUACGUGCUUGGCAUGGUACUAAGCACUUUGCGUGCAUUAUCUCACACAAUUCUCCCAACAGCUCUACAAAAUACACUCUAUUCCCCCACCCCGAAUUUUAUAUAUGAAGGUGUGAAAGGAAAAUAAAUCUCAGGACCGCAAAAUCACUAAUCCAAGGGAAAAGUCAAGCCGGGAACUGCGUCAGGCAAACCUGCCUCCCAUUCUAUUCCUAAAUAAGAUAGCUACAAAGAUAAAAAAGCUACAGAUCCCUUUCACAAUUUGCCCACCAGGAAAUUCCUUGUGGUCUGCAAGAUCUUUACCCUAAAAUGGUUCUGUUGAAUUACCUGACAAUGUAAAUGGAUAGCUUAUCUUCAUGGGUGCAGGACAAAGGACAGAACUCAAAGUCAUCCCUCUGCUCACCUGAGACAAAAGCAUAUCUGAUUGUUUUUUUCUGAUGUAAAAAUGAAGGCAUAAGUGAAUAUUCCUCCACCCCCUCACAUGUAAAUUGUCUAUUUAAUGAAAAGCUGAACAAAGACUCAAAAGAAUGCAAAGUUUGUCUCUUACCUACCCACACCUUUAAAAAAUUUCUUCCUUUUCUUCCAAUAUCUGCCCUUUCCCCUUUAAAUAAGCCUUCAAAAUCAUCUUUGGAGAAAGGCACAGACCUUCCUCCAGGGCAUGUGUCCUUAACCUUGGUAAAAUAAACUUCCUAAAUUGGUUGAGAUUCCUCUCAGAUAUUUUUUGGUUUACAGAGCAAACCGAGGUUUAAAGAUGCUGCGGUAGCAUGCCCAAAGAUCUAUCUUAACUGGGGACACAGAAGCAGACUCUCAGAUGAGGAUUUGUGUGCAGGAGAUUUGUAAGGAAGGGCUCCCUGGAGGAACCUGGUAAAAGAGUUGGGGAAGCUGGUCUGGGAAGGGGCCAGGGAUGAUCUCAGAGGGUGGCUUACACCUGAUUCUGCAAGCAGGGAUGGCUGCAGGGCCGUGCGCCUGUGCAGUCACACGGGCCCCACACUUAGGCCUUACACUUGGGUUGAUGCUCUGCUGUUGUUGCUGUCUUGAAAUUCUUCAUACUGUUUGAACAAGGGAUCUGCUUUUUCAUUUUGCACUGGGUCUUGCAAAUUCUGUAGGGAGUCCUGUCCCCAGGGCAGCUCUAAAGUAUAAGUGCCUCAGAGCUGCCCCACCCAAGGCAAGGAGCUGGGGCUGCAUGCUCUCAUCAUCAGCCAUUCAUUGGUCAUCUGUUAAGGGCUGCCCCAGGGGGACAUAUGUUCCUGCAGGCUAUAGGUUCCUUCUCUGUGCAAGCAAAGCAGCUGUACUACUCUGCAGGCAAUACUGCUGAUAAAGAGCUGCAGGUGAUGGCUGUUGAAAGUGAAAACAUUCUUAGGGGCCUCAGGAUUCAAACCUGGGGCUGGAGUUUCUAACCCCUCUUCCUGCCAGAGGUCAUGUGCUUCCCUGCCCUGCAGUGACGGUGGCUUCAGUUCCGCUAUGAGUCCUGGAGUCCUCGGGCUCCUCCUUCCCUUCUUUUUGUCCACUGCUUCUGAUUGUGGAUAAAAGGGGAAGUGAAAGAAUGAUAAGGAAGAUUGGGCAGUGGUGCAAACUGCUAGGAAAACCAUGAUUCACCUUCCUGGAGACAGUCCCUCUGGCCUGGGUGGGCCACCCACCGAUCCAUGAUGAUGUCGCCAUGCCAAUCAUGCCAGUUCAGCCUUCCCUUCAGAUGUGUAGUCCUCAAGUGUUUUCUAACAAAACACACAUAUAUAUGUUUUUCUACUUUGUCAUCUCCUGUGAAUUUCUAAGAAAAUGUAAUUCUUUUUUUUUUUUUUUGGACAGGGUUUUGCUCUGUUACCCAGGCUGGAGUGCAGUGGCAUGAUUGUGGCUCACUGUAGCCUCUGGCUCCUGGGCUCCAGCCAUCCUUUGGCUUCAGCCUCCUGAGUACUUGGGACCACAGGUGCACCCAACCACACUUGGCUUUUAUUUUAAUUAAAAAAUUUUUUAAAUUAUUUACUUAUUUAUUUAUUUUGAGAUGGCGUCUGGCUCUAUUACCAACACUGGAGUGCAGUGGCACGAUCUCAGCUUACUGCAACCUCCACCUCUCAGGUUCAAGCGAUUCUUGUGCCUCAGCCUUCCGAGUAGCUGGGAUUACAGGUGCAUGCUACAACUCUCAGCUAAUUUUUGUAUUUUUUUGCAGAGACAGGGUUUUGCCAUGUUGCCCAGGCUGGUCUCGAGCUCCUGACCUCAGGUGAGCCACUCACCUCAGCCUCUCAAAGUGCUGGGAUUACAGGUGUGAACCACCAUUCCUGAGCUUUUUAAAAAAAAUUUAUUUUAAUUUAUUAUUUAGUAUUUUGUAGAGACAAGGUCUCACUAUGUUGACCAGGCUUGUCUACAACUUCUGGCCUCAAGCAAUCCUCCUGCCGCAGCCUCCCAAAGUGCUGGGAUUAUAGGCAUGAACCACAGCACCUGGAUGAAAAUGUAAUUCUUACGGCCUUGAGUCUUUGUGUUAAGCUCCUCAAACCGUGUGUUUUAAAGAACUUUUAAAAUUUCAGGCUAAAAAAUAAUAAUGACAUGUUUGUUCUUGGCAGGCCGGGUGUGUCUGUGCCUAUGUAUGUAACAUGCAUAUCCUCUAUUACUGCAGUGUAAAGAUUCACGCAAGUGUCAUUAGUUUUACAGUUCUAUACAAAGUUUACCAGUUUUAACUCUAGGGUUAGGUUGUUGAAGGCUUGACUGAAGAGUCCUUCCGAAUGGCACACUCAUGAGCCAUUACCAGAAGCUUUUAUGGGCAGAGGUGGGCCGAUCACUUGAGGCCAGGAGUUUGCGAGCAGCCUGGCCAACAUGGCGAAACCCCAUCUCUACUAAAAAUACAAAAAUUAACUGGGCUUGGUAGCACACGCCUGUAGUCUCAGCUAUUUGGGAGGCAGAGGCAGGAGAAUUACUUGAACCCAGGAGGCGGAGGUUGCAGUGAGCCAAGAUUGCGCCACUGCACUCCAGCCUCGGUGACAGAGCGAGACUCCAAAAAAGAAGCUUUGAUGGAAGGGAAAACAAGCAGGCAUACAAAAUGGUCCCCUGAAACACCGCAUUUGCAGAGGAUGGAUUCGAAGUCAAACAGCAGGGACUUUCCUUCUUAAAAAUUAUGACUCCUGCAAACAUGUCCAUGGGUUGCUAUGCAACAGGCACAUCCAGUCAAUACAGAGCACAUAAAUUAGCAAUAAACGUGAGGGCGAAAUUGCUUUCUGAUUUUUUCCACCAGAAACUUCCUGGAAAUGUUCAAACACUUCCUGCAUAUCUGUGCCACGCCUGAAAAAGUGUCCCUCUCUGUUCAGUGGGCACCAGCUCCUAAGAGCGUUUAAAGAUCUUGACUUUGAAAGUUUGACUGCUUGUCCUAAGCUGCUCAUUCAUCCCUGGGUUGCUGUCCUCACCAACUAGACCACGUAUGGGAGAAGAGUGAACCAGGUCUCUUCUAGAAUGCAAUGCCAGGACUUUAAAAUUGCUAUCCUUUGUCCCCUUUGUGUUCAUUAUCUUAAUGACCCAUUACUUACCUCAUCUUACCCUCUUCCUCUUAUCCUUAGCAUUUUUGCAGUGUGCUUACUUUGUCUUUUAAUUAGGUCUGAUUCAUUGGGUAGCCAAGGUGAUGCACUCAUCCUGCUGAAAAAGAAUUCAUCCAUGUGGUUCAUCCAGGGCAUCUGGCUAAAACCCAACACACAAACCACUGCUAAACCUCAGCCUUCCUUGCAUGGGAAAGCAGCAGAAAGUUCUCUCUCUUUUUUUUUAUUUCCACAAAAUCUACAUCCUCAAAGCACGCAGAGAAGCAAAUGCUGGCUAGAAGUGUCAUUGUUUACUCAAGACACUGUACAAAAAAAGAGGAAGGAGCAGACGUUUGGCCACCAAAGCAAAUCUGAAGGAAUCUUCGAAGGAGGAAGAGUCUAAGAAUUUAAGAGGAGGCCAUGAUGACACGACCAUUUUUUGCAUCUUUAGGCAAGCCCUGAUACUUAAUGUCCCUUAUUUAAGCCUUUUAUGCACAAACAUCUUGUCACCUCCACAUCACAGCUAGUCCCAGCAAGGAGAGAAACUGGCCAAGAUAGGCGUUUUCAGGGAGUUUUCUAGGGAAAUGAGGAGAAGUGUGAGUAGAAGGAAGGAGACAUGCAGGCUUGGUGGACACUCCGGCAAUGCUCAUGCCAACCCAUGUGGGGAGCCCUUUCUGAACUCAUCCCUCCAGUCCCCCAAGUACCACUCCUGUUACCAUGCCACACAGAACAGAAAUCCCAGCUUGGGAAAUAGUGUCCUCAACUAUUAAAGAAUUGAUUUUUUUUCAAAGACAUCCAGAAGAGGAGACUCCAUACCCUCCCAUUCCAGUAUGAAAAUCGUGACUUAUAUCCAAAUAGUCUCUUUCCAAAUGCUUAUUAAUUUUACUUCCUGGGAAAUCUCCUCUUUCAACCUAAACUAGGAUAGUCGCAGAUAGUUCCUAUAAAAACUCUCUCUAGAUCUACUGCAGACUUGGCUCCCAGAACCAAAUACAGACUUGCAGUCAUUGUAUUCUCUGUCUCUCUCAUCUGCCACUUCACCUUGGUGCACCAUGUUAUCACAUCUAACCCCACACAACCUUGGAAAAACUACAGAUGAAAAAUUUCCAUUUUAGUUUUGAUAUUACAAGCCUGUUUUGAAACUCUGAAUUUUUAGUCCUAAAAAUGGUACUAUCUAAUAGAUGUUGUGAUACUUUUCUGUCUAAUGGACCAAGAUGGCUGCAAAUACAAUGCAAAUAGACCAAUUAACUCCACAUUUCCUCAGAAGUCAGGGUAAUAGUGAAAAACUGUUUUAAUGGAUAGAAUCCAUUAUCAUCGAGGGCCAUAAACUUGAGUCUUUGAAAAAAUAAUGAAUCAGAUAGUUUCAUACUAAUAUUGCUCCUUUUUCCUCCCUUUUAAGGUACCUUCUAAUAUUACCCGAAUCUCCUGAUAAUGAAAGAAUUGAACAAUUAGAUUGAUCAUGAAAGGUUUUACAGUAUCUUUUCCUCAUUAUACCUAUUAUAAGGGCCUUGUCUAAUUUGAAGGACCUAGAUUUUUUAAACUGGUAUUAUUGUUUCUAGCUGUCUGAUUUGUACCAAUAUUCAGAUAUCACUGAUACUUCUGAUGGUGAGUGUUUAUCUAGAUGUCUUUGAGAAAGGCAUUUUUCUUGCCACUGUCUGUUUCUCUCUCCACUCCUUUUUUUAGUACCUAUGCUGCUAAAGGGAGCACUAUCUACUCCUCUCUUAUGUUCAGAUCCUUGGUACAUGGUGCAAAUCACCUGGCUUAACAGAUGUUGGCAUUUUGGUGACUUUCUCAUUCCUUCUUGGGACCAUUCUUGCCGGUGCUUGGCUCAUCCUUCCCUUCUCAUGUACAAAGGACUUGAACACUUUCAGUGGACAAAGUUUAUCAAAUAUGUUUGCAUAAACCCCUCUUUCUGUCUUUCAAGCUACAAGACCUAGGUUUCUCUGCUUAACAUUUGCUUCAUUUUACUAAGCCUGACCACACAUUGUAUAGAAUGCGAUUUCCUUGUUUCUGAGUGAUACCAGGUCUUCAGGGCCUACAUACAAGGCUGGCUACAUAAUUUGUAAGGCCCAGUGAGAAACAGAACUUCAGAGCUCCUUGUUAAAACAUUAUUAAGAAUUUCAAGCUUGUGACAACAGAGCAUCAGACCAAGAGCGGCACCCUGUGUAACUGCCCAAGUCACACCUCCAUGGAUCCAGCUCUUCAUACAUGUAUAACUUCAUAUGAGUAACACUAGGCAUGAUCUGCAACUUAGCCUUAGUUUGUUUCUUUACUAUUUUUAGUUUGCAGACUAAGAUCAUUGCUUAUUUCUCAGUGCUUUGAAAAUAUCCCAGUGACUUCUGACUUCUAUUGUUGUCACCGAAAAGUCUGCCAUCCAAAAGAAACUAUCAAGAGAGUAAAUAGACAACCUAUAGAAUGGGAGAAAAUAUUUGCAAACUAUGCAUCUGACAAAGGUUUAAUAUCCAGCAUCUAUAAGGAACUUAAAUUUAUAAGACAAAAACAACCCUAUUAAAAAGUGGGCAAAGAACAUUAACAGACAUUUUUCAAAAGAAGACACACAUGCAGUCAACAAGCAUAUGAAAAAAACUCAACAUCACUGGUCAUUAGAGAAAUGCAAAUUGAAACCACAAUGAGAUACCAUCUCAUACUGGUCAGAAUGGCUAUUAUCAAAAAUAAACAAAAACAGAUGCUGGCAAGGUUGCAGAGAAAAGGGAACACUUAUACACUGUUGGUAGGAGCGUAAAUUAGUUCAACCACUGUGGAAAGCAGUAUGGCAAUUCCUCAAAGAGCUAAAAACAGAACUACCAUUUGACCCAGGAGUCCCAUUACUGGGUAUAUAUCUAGAGGAAUAUAAAUCAUUCUACAGUAAAGACACAUGCACGUGAAUGUUCAUUGCAGCACUAUUCACAAUAGCAAAGAUGUGGAAUCAACCUAAAUGCCCGUCAAUGACAGAUUGAAUAAGGAAAAUGUGGUAUACAUACAUCAUAUAGUACUAUGCAGCCAUAAAAAAGGAAUGAGAUCUUGUCCUUUGUGGGACCAUGAAUGGAGCUGGAGGCUAUUAUCCUAAGCAAACUAAUGCAAGAACAGAAAACCAAAUGCCACACAUUCUCACAUGUAAGUGGGAGCUAAAUGAUGAGAACUCAUGAACACAAAGAAGGGAAUAACAGACACUGGGGUCUACCUGAAGGUGGAGGGUGGGAGGAGGGAGAGGAGCAGAAAAGAUAACUAGUGGAUACUGGGCUUGAUACCUGGGUGAUGAAAUAGUCUGUACAACAAACCCCCGUGACACAAAUUUCCCUAUAUAACGAACCUUCACAUGUACCCCUGAACCUAAAGUAAAAGUUUUUUUUUUUUUUUAAGUCUGCUGUCAAACUGUUGUUUCUUUGAAAGUAAUCUUUUCUUUUUUUUUUCCCAAUUGAUUUUGCCCUUUGGCAGCUUUUCCUUAUAAUGCCUCUAGAUUUUUAUAUCUCGUUUUGAACUAAUUAUGCUACCUGAAUCUGAUUUUCAUCUUGUUCUAGAAAACUGUCAGACACUAUCUUAAAAUAUUGCCUCUUACCCCAUUCUUUCUUUCUGGAGCUCCUAUGUAAUGCAUGCUAGAGCUUCUCAUUUCAUCUUCCAUGUAUUUAAGUUCUCUUUCAUGUAAGAAAUAUCUUUAUCUUUCUGUGUUGCAUUCUAGGUAAUUUGUUUCCAAACCACUUCCUGGAUGAUCAAUUCUCUCUUUGGCAAUCUUUGCCCCGUUUAUUAAGUUUUUAUUUUUAAUGUUACACAUUUCAUUUCUAGAGGUAACAUAUGGUACUUUUUCAAAUAUGCCUGGUCUUUUAAAUUUAUUUUCUCAAAAUUUUGAUUUCUCCUUUUACAUUUCAGUUAUGUUAACAACAAUUCAUAUCCUCCUUCUGAUAGUUCUAUUAGCUGAUGUUCUGGGGGUUCUGGGGACUCAUUACCUGUGCCGCCCGUUGUGUCUGUUUAUUCUUGUUUGUAGUGCACUCUUGCUCAUGUCUCUAAACGCAUUUUGUAAUUUUCGAUUGUGAGCUUCUAUUUAAAAGAAUGUGCUCACUAUGGGAAUCUUGUGUGGCAGAGGUUGAAGAUUGGUUUCUAUAGAGAAGUUUUUUAUUUGUUUUGGCAAGUGCUCUUGUGAUAUUGGGACUCCUUUUAUGUUAAUUAAUUGACGUAGCUUUCCUAGACCAUACAGGUGAGUAAACUUAAGCUCCAAACCCAUGUGAAGUGUGGUCUGUGGUUAUGAAACUUGAGGUGACCUUGUUUUCCCUCAGCGGAUCUCCCACUGCUCAGGCAGCCAAGUGUCAGCACUUUUUCUUGUGCUCAGACCUUCUUUAUACUCAGUCUCUGGGAUUUCCUUCACUCAUUUCAGCUGUGCUUUUAACACCACACUUAUUAUUUUUCUACAGCAUAUUUAGGCGUUUCUGUGGCCAGAAGCUUUUCAGAUUCUCCUCUAAGAUAUUGCCAAAAUGAUAGUUCUUGUCAUCCUGAAUUUCUGAACACAGAAAAAGUUUUCCCACGAUGAUUACAGAUUUUGAGAUCUCUCUAGAUACUAGGGACAUCUUUAGAAAGCAGGCCAAGAGCCUUGACCAAACUUACGGCAAUUCUAUUGUACUGAUCAGAAAAUAUCACUUACUUUUGCAUGUAGAUUUUAUUUAGAUGAGAGUUAGGUUUUGUUUUGCAAAGAAAAUAGCUAAUGUAUUCUUUGCUAAGAAUGACGGUGAUACACAGCGGUUGGAUUUAUUUAAUAAAAUGUGAGAUGUUAAGAAAAAAAUCUUAGGAAUUUGAAGACACUGAGAGUGUUCAAUGCAAAAAAAAAAAAAAAAAAGGCAGAGAGAGAGGGUGUUUCAGUUGCCUGCACCAUACAUACUCGCUGGUUCCGAAUAAUGCAAGGAUUUCUCUCUUCUGUUCCGGUCUUUUGAUGUUGAGUUUCCUGCCCCUUAAAUAUCUGCUUUACCAGAAAAUGAGAAAGUCUUCACCCAAAAAAACAGCACAGAAGUGAAGCCAAGUGACUGUAAAAGGUUUCAUAGCCUGGUCAACAGGGAGGCAGCUGGCGAUCACUUCCUGCCUCACCCUGGAGGAAGGAGCUACUAAGGAAAGGGACGUCUAAGCUGAAACAACUUCAGGUGGUUCCUGUCCCUCUCUAGAGACUUUAAAGUCUCACUGCAUGGAAUGCCCUUGAUAUCCAGACUGGGAAAAUCUAAGCCUGUGGACCAGGAAGAAAAGUCAUUCAUUUAUUCAUUCGUUUAUCACUCCUACUACUCAUGAGAGUCAAGUGAGGGCUGUCUGGGGACUUAGGGUAGGAAACUUUCAAUAUGGCUAGAUAUAUGCACUUAACUAUUUCUUUUUCUUUUGGAUUGACAGUCUUAUUUACUCUGAAUACAGGGCAUUCAUAAUGCUCAUUGUUGCUGCUACUAUUCUGUGAACACAUGUUUAGAAAAAAACGUGGUGCAACGGUAUGGGAAUUCUGAGUUCACUUGUUCAUCCAUUUUUUUCUUUAAAUAACAUUUAUCCAGUGGUAUGUUAUAUAGAGCUUUGUACUGGGUGGAGUGGGGCUAAAAAGAUGAAUGAUAAAUAGUUUCUACCCUUAGGAAUCUCAGUCUAAUACCAUGUGGGGGAUGGGGCAGUAUAUUUACAGAAAGAAAUGCUACAUGGGGCAUAUUUAACCCACAAAUGAUCUAACUGAAGAAUCAGAAUAAAUAUUUCCAUACAUUUUAAUUGUGGUAAAAUAUACACAACAUAAAAUUUACCGUUUGAAGCUUUUUUUUUUUUUUUGUAGACAGAGUCUUGCUCUGUUGCCCAGGCUGGAGUGCAAUGGCACGAUCUUGGCUCACCACAACCUCUGCCUCCUGGGUUCAAGCGAUUCUCCUGCCUCAGCCUCCUGAGUAGCGGGGAUUACAGGCGUGCACCAUCAUGCCCAGCUAAUUUUGCAUUUUUGGUAGAGAUGGGGUUUCUCCAUGUUGGUUAGUCUGGUCUCAAACUUCUGAUCUCAGGUGAACCGCCCACAUCAGCCUCCCAAAGUGCUGGGAUUACAGGCAUGAGCCACUGCACCUGGCCUAUUUGAAGCAUUUUUAAGCGUACCAUUUGGUGGCAUUCAUUAAGUACAUUCACAUUAUGGUGCAAACAUCACCAUCAUCCCGGAAGCCUUUGCAUCUUUCCAAACUGAAACUGUACCCAUUAAACACGAACUUCUCAUUCCCCUCCCCCUAGUCCCUGGCACCCACCAUUCUACUUUCUGUCUCUGUGACUUUGACUCCUCUAGGUGCCUCAUACAAGUGGAAUCAUUCAGCAGUUGUCUUUUUGCAUAUUGCCUGUCCAAAACUUUUUGAAUGGAAAGAAGUAUGUUUUACAGAAACAGGAAAGUCCCAGCCUUGUCUCUGACUGCUUCACCCCUUGGUUCAGCCCAGUGAAAGCUGGUCAACUUUCCUUAAUGCUCUGAGAUCCGUAAUAGCACAACCAUUUUAGUAUCUUUCUCUGAAGACUGCAACACGCUGUCAUGAUAUUAGUCAACUCAAGUCAACUGACAUUAUUAUAGUGCUUAUGAGGCUGCUCCUGCCUGAAAGCCCUUCACUGCCUCCCUGGGGUGUGGGUGGAGGAUGAGAUAAGCAGCUCACAAGUGGGACAGAACCCUGGCUCUGCGGAAAGCCCAGCUGGCUGCCACGGGUGGCAUGUUUCUCGGGGCUUCCUGUGUGAGCGCAUAGACAGCCCUGCUAGUCCCUCAGCCCAGAUGCCUGCCAGAAACCCAAGCCCUGAGGAUGCCCCUCCAGAUGUGUGCUGUGAACUGAGCUUUCUGAAAUCCUUCUCCUGGGGCCAGACACUCAUCAAAGCGCCAACUCUAUCGCAGACUGCAUUUGAGUCACCUGUUAUGUUUGAGAUCCGCCCUGUGUUGGGAGCUGAAACCUGUUGGCUGGUCUUGCUGGGGUUAGGGAAGGGCCUGAAGUCUGGAAGAGGACUAGGUCAAGUUUCCUGCUGUACUUCUGAGGUCCUGGACGUGAAGCCGAAAUGCUGCAGCUCACAGCCAGUGUGGUCAGCCGAAUGGGAGUCAGCUCUGGGCGGCUUAUUGCCAUGAACAAAGGAGCUCAGUUGCUGGGGUUCACCUCCUAUCCCAUCAGAAUACAAGCUGCACUGGGGCUAGAUGUCCACGGCUGUAUCCUCAGCACCUAGAAGAGAGUCUGGGACCAAGUGUGAACAUCUAUAAACCGGAGGAAACAUCUGUUGGCAGGAUAUUUAGUAUAGCAAUAUCUUUGGAUAAAAUAAUCAACAAACAAAAUUAUGUUGUUGGAAACCAGAAAACGACACCACUGAUGAAUGUACUUAGGCUACUUAAUCAAGAAAUAGUCGCAAUGAUUCUACUUCUGUCUUCUUUUUUAAAAAAAAUUUAAUUAGUUGUUUUAUUUUAGAAUAGCAUUACUGAUUACCUUUCUUCCCUGGAAAUUAACACAUUUCGUAGAGACUUAAGGAUGCAUCAAUGAAAUACUUAGAAUUGAAAGAGGAAAUGAAUUACUUGAUUUCUCAGGAUGUGUGUGUCUAUUGGUGCUCUAGCACAGUUAAAUGCUAAUAUUGCCACUGAAAACUGAUGCAACUUUUGUGAAGCAACAGCUGUAACAGGGCCUCUGUGUAACACUUCCUUGUGUAGAAUUAAAAAAAAAAAAGCUUAGGUUUUAGAAAAUAUCAGAAAAGCACCUCUUUAUAGGCUUACCACAUAAGUACAUUGUUUUCAUCCCCCAGUAGACUGCGAUUGGCUUUGACUGGGGAGUUCCUCAUUUGUCUCCGGGGUUGGGGCCCACUUCUGUUUUUUGACCACUGACCAGCUAUGCUGUCUUCAUAGAAAUCAGGCAGUGGGCAGUGACCUGGUUCUUACUAACUCUUGUGAUGCCUCACGCGAUGUUAUAUCUGUCACCAGCACGCUCUCCUCUCCUGAGAGAGUGUUAGAAAAUUGCGUGGUCUGGGAGUGCAGGGGUUAAUGAACAGUUCGGAGAUUAAUGCUUCCUCUCCUUGUGGUCCCAGAUGUCUUCGGGAAUGCUUGAAUCCUCUCCCUUUGCAUCUUUUCCCUUAUUUGUAGGGUUACCUGUCACAUCCCUUUCGAACUUGCAGGGACCAUGUCUGGACAAAUUAGCCAAAGACUAUACCUAUGUUUGAAGCAAAAUUUAAUAUUCCUCCAAAAUUAUGGCUUUCCAAUUCUCCAUGGCUCAUGAAGAGGGCCCCUUACUCUUAGACAACAAAUAUUUCUGAGCACUGGCCGUGUUCCAGGCAGUCUGCUGAGAUCUGGAUCUGAUGAUGCAGUGGUAAAUACACACAGACCCCACCUCUGCUCUUUCAAAGCCUAUACCUGGUGAAUGGCAGAAACAAUAUUUCUCCACGCCUUACACUCAAUGAGUAACAAAGAGGAAUCACAGUUAUUGGCAUAGCUCAAAAAUUUUUUUUGUCAGAUCCAGUUUUGCCAAUCACUAUGACAGGGCCAAAUCUAUAAAACAUUGGGAGCUUUAUAGGAGAUAAAAUAUCCUCUAAAAUGUAGAGAAUUUUUAUAGCCCAAAUUCCUAUCCAGAGUCUCCAGCCCCUUUGGGACUAGACAGCCCCCUCAAGAUUCUCAGGGAGCUCAUCACAUUCCCCAUUGGGCAGUGUGACUAGAUAAGGGCCAAGGGCAUGAGUCAGUGUGGGAAGUGGCCCCAGCUCAGCUCAGCCACUGUGGCAGGCAAGAAGGAUGCCACGAACACCGCCAAUGGCCUCAGGGAGGUGGGUGGGUUGGAAGUGUGGUGGGGGUCAUGUUUGGUUAUGUAAAUAUGACUCCAGGCAGAGCCAGUGCUGAGUUUGAUGAUGGAGGAGGAUUGGAGGUAAAGCUAGAGCUCUCAGAGCCUUCCCUGGGAUAGAGAUUCCUGCUGACACUGCUGGCCAUGAUAGUCUGUCUGGGGAGCCAUGCUCACCUUCAGCUCCUGUGCAGAGAAGGGUGGCUGGGGAGGUGUUGCAUAGCUGGGGGCAUGCUAGGUGCAUUGAUGCCACUUGUUUCUCCACUUGGCUUCAGUCCAGAGCCCCACUCUGGGCUGGUGGCUGGGUAAGACCAUAGGUAAACAGUAGACUUAUAGUAUGGUUUGGGGGCUAUUUUGCUAUGAUUAUGUGGGCACGGGCUUUAAAGACUAAUGGCCCUGGUGUCUUCAUGCUACUCUGUAUGCUUUGAAACCUAAUGGCCUUCUGGCACUGCCUUUCAGUUGUUGCAUGACUUAGGGUAACACUAGUAGCAGUAACAAAUAAAUGCUCAAAUUUCAGAGCCUUUCCACUGAUGCUUAUGUCUCAUUCAAGUCAGUGGGUGGCUUCCCUCCAGGUGGUAACUCAGAGAUCCAGGCUCCUUCCAGGAUGUGACUCUGCCAUCUCCUAAGGCCCUGGAGAAUUCUGCGUGGAGGUGGAAGGUGACAGAGAGGGCAUGUCUUACCACCUUAGCCCAGAGUGAUACAUAUCACUUCUAGUCAUGUGUUGCUGAGGUAAGGCAGUGGCCCCCAAACUUCUUGGGCACCAGACAAUUUUUCCAUGGACUGGGGUGGUGAGGGGGAUGGUUUCAGGACGAUUCAAGCACAUUAUAUUUAUUAUAUUUAUUGUGCACUUUAUUUCUAUUAUGAUUACAUUAUAAUACAUAAUGAAAUAGUUACACAACUCACCAUAAUGUAGAGUUAGUGGGAGCCCUGAGCUUGUUUUUCUGCAACUAGAUGGUCCCAUCUGGGGGUGAUGGGAGACAGUGAGAGAUCAUCAGGCAUUAGAUUCUCAUAAGGAGCAACCUGGAUCCCUCACAUGCGCAGUUCACAAUAGGGUUCACUCUCCUGUGAGAAUGUAAUGCUGCUGCUGAUCUGACAGGAGGCAGAGCUUAGGUGGUAAUGCGAGCCAUGGGGAGUGGCUGUAAAUACCAAUGAAGCUUCACUUGCUCCCCUGCUGCUCACCUCCUGCUGUGUGGUCUAGUUCCUAACAAGCCAAGGACUGGUACCAGUCUGUGGCUCUGGGUUUGGGGACCCCUGAGAUAGGGGACCAGAAUGUGUAAUCUCACAAUUUCUACACUAUGGAAAGAGCCACGUGAGUGUUGCUGAACAGUUAGCUUCUCUGCCUUGAUAAUGGGGUAAACUUCCAAAGUCUCAGUUUCCUCAUCUGUAAAACAGAGAAAUAGAAGCUCUCACCAGCACCUCUGAGAGUUAUUGUGAGGAUCAGAGCUAAUGUAGGUGAUGUGACUAAUCUAGUGCCGCCGUGGUGGACAGUCAACUCAUGGCUGUGAUUACUGCCAGCAAGAGGGGCUGUCUUAUUUACAGCAAGGGGGAUCUAGUCUCAUCCUCUCCUCCAGCUCCUUUAAGUGCUCCAGAUCCAUGCCUGUGCUUCUGCCUACAUAGGUUUUAUAAUGACCAUUAAGCAAUACGCAUUCCGUAUGAUGAUUAUUAUGUAAAUCUAAGUAUAUUUCAUGAUUACUAUGUAAUAUAUAUUAUCUAUUGUGAUUAUUAUGUAAAUGCAAGUGAGCAUCUCACUCCAACAUAUGUUUCAUGGACUAAAUAUUCCUGGGGCAUUGACAUAAGCUUUUAAAUAUUGCUCCAUUGUUUGCUAUCAUUCAAAAAGGCUUUUGUUAUAAAAGCAAUAGAGGUCACUGCAAAAAUUACGAAGGCACAGACAGCUAUAUAAACUGGAGCUUAAAAUCUGCCUGUCUACCCUUGGGUCCUCCUACCCAGUGAGCCCUACUUGGAUAAGUAAUUUUCAUGAACAGUUUUGAUAAAUCUUUCCAGAAAUACUCUAUGUUUACAUACAAGCAUAUGUAAAUGCUUUUAUUUUGCACAAAAGCAAAUCAUGCUAAAAUGUUAUUCUGCAACUCCUUUUUUUCUUUUUCCCUAUUUCCAUGUUUGGUCUAACUCAUACUGUUUAAUAGCCACACAGUAUCCCAUCGUGGGAAUGAGCUACAGUUUAUUAAACUAGAGGUGAGAGCUUUUGUGGUGAGUAGAAAGGCAUCAGAUUCUUCUUUCUUCCAUGUGAGCAGAUGGCUCACUCUCCAAAGUUACUUUCCCACCAGGUACCCCGAAAAUCGCAGGCCCAUAUGGGUGCAUCCAGAGUCCGUGUGCUUCUUGCCCCUCAUUGUCCAGGCAGUGGACAAGCUUGAUUCAAAAGCCCCUGCUUAUUUUAUCAGGGUUGAGGUCAUGGGAUGGAAUAAAGGGUCAAAAGACUGCAGGAACCCCUUCUCUGUGCCUGUAGCCUCAAGCUCAUCCAAAACAGCAAAAAUAUAUUAUACUUGUUGUCCUCCAGGGCACUAGGGCAUGUGGUUCAACUUCAAAAAUAUAGGCCCUGAGCCUGUUGAUUAUAAAAGGAAUCUCCUUCUGUUGCACAGUUUAUUGUGGUUAACUCUUCUUCUUCCUUCUUCCUUCUUCUUUCCCCUCCCCCUGCCUCUUCCCUCCCCUCCCCUCCCCUCCUCUCCC